AAAAUAAUAAGAUAAAUUUAAAUUGUUGCUUUUAUUUCUUACCAUUCAAAGGGCAAAAGUAUUUUGAAUUCCAGCACAAGUGACCGUUGAAAGACUGAAUAACAACACAACAAAAAGGGCUGCAAAGGGGAAACUAGAAAGCGCCAAGUAGACAUUUUAUCUUGAUUGAGCGAUGUGCGAGUGUGAAAGUCCAACAGAAAGCGGAAACGUUCGUAAAAUGCUGUCAUCCCAAUGUCAAGCGCGAUGACCGGUCAAACAUUUUGGUGUUACGGACGUGUAGUUGAAUGACCAGCAUCUUAAUGGUUCC